CGGCAACAGCUCAAAUUUGAAAUCUGGCGUCUUUGGCGUCCGAGUUGUAAUUUGCAGAGGGCGCUUUGGCAUUGGCAGCGGUCCAAGUUCCUUGGAACAGGACGUCACAGAGGGUGAGAAUCCCGU
rnacentral:rRNA from 1 species